UGCAGUCGAACGAUGAAGCCCUUCGGGGUGGAUUAGUGGCGAACGGGUGAGUAACACGUGGGCAAUCUGCCCUUCACUCUGGGACAAGCCCUGGAAACGGGGUCUAAUACCGGAUAACACUCUGUCCCGCAUGGGACGGGGUUAAAAGCUCCGGCGGUGAAGGAUGAGCCCGCGGCCUAUCAGCUUGUUGGUGGGGUAAUGGCCUACCAAGGCGACGACGGGUAGCCGGCCUGAGAGGGCGACCGGCCACACUGGGACUGAGACACGGCCCAGACUCCUACGGGAGGCAGCAGUGGGGAAUAUUGCACAAUGGGCGAAAGCCUGAUGCAGCGACGCCGCGUGAGGGAUGACGGCCUUCGGGUUGUAAACCUCUUUCAGCAGGGAAGAAGCGAAAGUGACGGUACCUGCAGAAGAAGCGCCGGCUAACUACGUGCCAGCAGCCGCGGUAAUACGUAGGGCGCAAGCGUUGUCCGGAAUUAUUGGGCGUAAAGAGCUCGUAGGCGGCUUGUCACGUCGGAUGUGAAAAGCCCGGGGCUUAACCCCGGG
rnacentral:rRNA from 1 species